GGCCACACAGAAGAUCUUGGGCUCACAAAAGGAACAGCCGCCUUCUGCCAAUGGAUGGUGCCCUGGAGGAGAACACGGGAAGCAGCAGCAAACAAUGUCAGUGGUAAGGAAGCAAAGGAAGCUGUGGAAGUUCCCAGGCUUGUAGAGACUCUCUCAAACACCUCAGGACUUGCCUGGAUGCAGCUCCCCAACGCUUCUUAAAACAACUGUGUCUGAGGAGGUGUGAACCGACAGGAAGGAGCAGGAUGAAAAAGUAAAAAGAGGUGGUGUUUGAAGCAAAUUUCUUCCAUCCUACUCUCUCUUGACAUCUCCGGUGGAGGUUGACUGCUAACUAUGGAAGAAGUAAAAGGAAAAUCUCAAAUGACCUUCCCUAAAGAUUUUUCUUUUUGGGUAAGAGGAGCUGAAGACUGAAAUAAACUGGUGGUAAAAUACUCUGGAAGGACAUGUUGGAUUUUUUAUGGCAUGAAUCACGAACUAUCAACACAAAUUCUCCAUGCCCUGACUGGAACCUUCAGAAGUCCUCUUUGGCCCAUUUCAUAUGAUCAGGAAUUUCAAAAGAACUCUCAAUUUCAAAGCAUAGUGAUUCCAGAUCCAACAGAAAUAUGAAGACAAGCAGUGACUGCAAUCUGCAACGUUUUACCCUUUUAAAUGCUUGCUAUGGAUUCUUACUAUGAAUUUCAGUCUUGGUUCCAUGGACUGAACCCAGCACAGUUAUAUUUCAGUGAAGAAAAGUUGGACUCUUCAAACCUGUCGAAUUUCAGGAAAAUUUAUGGAAGACAAGAAACCCUCUCUGUUAAUAAGAAAUACAUAUCUCAAAGAAAAAUCUGCUUCAACGUCAGCUUUGAUUCCAGGGCUUUCCAAGUGAUCCAGGAUGAGUAACUGAGAUGGGUGUGAGGGGAGAAGCAUGAAGGGACAAUGAGCCUGGCCACGGACACAUUCCAAAGCAGAGAAUCCCUUGUGGAACAAAGUAACAUGCAUGUUGUGUCCAUACUUCCAAAUGGAGAAUUUAAUGAGUGACUCAGGCUGUGAAAGAACAAUUGUUCAGGGGACAAGUGUGAAGGAGGAGCUAAAACCUGC